rnacentral:rRNA from 1 species
CAAACUGCGGUGAAUACGUUCCCGGGUCUUGUACACACCGCCCGUCAAACCAUGAAAGUCACCAACACCCGAAGUCCGAUUCGUCGGCCUAAGGUGGGGGGAUGAGUUGGGGUU